UACGUAGGGUGCAAGCGUUGUCCGGAAUUAUUGGGCGUAAAGAGCUCGUAGGUGGCGGGUCACGUCGGGUGUGAAAGCCCGGGGCUUAACCCCGGGUCUGCAUUCGAUACGGGCUUGCUAGGGUCCGGCAGGGGAGACUGGAAUUCCUGGUGUAGCGGUGAAAUGCGCAGAUAUCAGGAGGAACACCGGUGGCGAAGGCGGGGUCUCUGGGCCGGUACCGACGCGUGGAGGAGCGAAAGCGUGGGGAGCGAACAGG
rnacentral:rRNA from 1 species